GUUGAAUUGGAGCUGCAGCUGCCAGCCUACACCACAGCCACAGCAACGUGGGAUCCAAGCCGCAUCUGCGACCUACACCGCAGCUCACCGCAAUGUCAGAUCCUUAAUCCACGGAGGGAGGCCGGGAAUCAAACCCACAUCCUCAUGGAUCCUAGUCGGGUUCUUAAUCCGCUGAGCCACAACAAAAUCUCCCUAAAUUUCGUAUAUUCUUGCCGACUGACCCCUGCUUUGGUUUUUCCGUCCGUGCAGGAACCAAAGCGCCUCCAGGGACACCAGACGCGUUUGGCAAACAGAACUGGCCGGGUACAGUCUCGUUCAUCUAAAUUGCUCUCUAUCUGCCCAGAAACGCCAGGAUACAUGUCGGCGUCAGGGAUGUUCACCUGGCAAACGGCAGCAGAGGCGGGAGAGGCAUCCCAAGGCACCGACGGAAGGCAGGGAUGCAGGAUGCCAGCCAGGGAGGCGGGUCUGCACGCCGUGCUCGCACCACACCCAUCGGGGACAGAUGCAGACCCCAGGACUCCUGGGGAUGAGAGGGCCCCUGCUAGAGGGAUGCGGUUGGGAAUUUGAACUCAGAGAGAUGCAUCGAAGGAGC
rnacentral:lncRNA from 1 species